CAAUAUCCAAUCUAAGACAUUAUUUUUUCCUUCCUUCCCUUUUAGUGUGAUCUAAUAUUGUCUGUCAGUUGUAACUGUAACGUUGUCAGGACCUGGGCAGCGACAUCAAGAAGGAGAAGGUGUUCCUGGUGUGUCACGUGGUGCGCAUCGGCUCCAUGGAGGCGCAGAACCUCGACCACAGGGCUAGUCUAUCGCCGUACACCAGAAGUAAGCUAUCCAGACGCAGCUCCGUGGCGGGCGGGG